GAUGAACGCUGGCGGCGUGCCUAAUACAUGCAAGUCGAGCGAACGGACGAGAAGCUUGCUUCUCUGAUGUUAGCGGCGGACGGGUGAGUAACACGUGGAUAACCUACCUAUAAGACUGGGAUAACUUCGGGAAACCGGAGCUAAUACCGGAUAAUAUUUUGAACCGCAUGGUUCAAAAGUGAAAGACGGUCUUGCUGUCACUUAUAGAUGGAUCCGCGCUGCAUUAGCUAGUUGGUAAGGUAACGGCUUACCAAGGCAACGAUGCAUAGCCGACCUGAGAGGGUGAUCGGCCACACUGGAACUGAGACACGGCCCAGACUCCUACGGGAGGCAGCAGUAGGGAAUCUUCCGCAAUGGGCGAAAGCCUGACGGAGCAACGCCGCGUGAGUGAUGAAGGUCUUCGGAUCGUAAAACUCUGUUAUUAGGGAAGAGCAUAUGUGUAAGUAACUGUGCACAUCUUGACGGUACCUAAUCAGAAAGCCACGGCUAACUACGUG
rnacentral:rRNA from 1 species